AGGAAAUUGAAAGCCACGUGUCCUGCUUGCUUGGAAGUUACAGGUAAUACCAGCUUCUUGUGGGGCAAGGGCACUCAGGUUGGACUUCCAGAGCCAAGGUCCUGUCCCAGGGAGCACAUGGUUGGUAACAGAGGAGGAGGUUCUAGGCAGGGCUUCCACCUGGAAAGCAAGGAUAAGAGAGUCUUCCAGAUAGCACUCCUGGUACAUCUACCUGGAAAACUCAGCAGUCAACCUGGAAAUAGUUGCUGGAAUCCAAUGCUCUGUCCUUUCUACAGACUUCUCCAGGUGUUAAAAGAACUGAAGGCUCUUCUAACAAUCUGGAGGGCAGAUGUUGUUGGAGCCUUGUAUAAUUUUAAAGUAAAACCCCCUCCGUGAGCUCGUCACUCGGGGCCCAGGGUCACAACUGGGACAAAGAAGUCAUUCUCCUUUUCCAGUUUUAAAAGUGCAGCACUUUCCUGGCUCAGGCUCCAUGAUGUGAUCACAAGUCAAACAUCACCUGGCUCCUCUUUUGGUGUGGAACAGACUGGGCACUGGAACUGUUUCAAGCACAAGGACAUAAAUAGUCAAGUUAAGGUCACAAGGCAGAAAUAGGAAAGAUGCAGAGAAGGCUGAGAAGAAUAUAUAACAGCCUCUAUACAGAAGAAAAACUACUCAUCUGGAUUGUCACUCUCAAAAACAAGGUAAGAGGAGAAAUGAAAGUGGUCUAGAAAGUCAUGAGGGGAGAAG